GGUGAAGGAAAGCAGCAGUUUUCUGUCUAGUGUAUGCCUCAUCACAACAUAGGAUAUCUAUAUUGUUCUGACACACCGUGAUAACACCAGAUGAACAGGCAGAUUUGGCUUGCAUCACUGAGACCUGGUUAGAUCCGGAUGGGGAUGUUCCCCUGACUGAGAUGUGUCCACCUGUCUAUGCCCCUGUGGUGAUGGGGAAGUUGAAACAAUCGAACAUGUUUUGCUUUAUUGCUCCUUCUAUAGAGACUUACGUUUAGAACUAAUAUCUCCACUGUUGGCUCGUUUCCCAGGAAAUUCGUCUAACCAACAAGUGGCUUUCCUGCUUGAGGACAGCAUACCUGCCAUUACUCGGAAAGUGGCGGGCUUUUGUGCAGCAGCUUGAAGAGUGCGCCAGUUUUUAAUUAACAAUCCUAGUGCUGCUCUAUAACCUUUCAGUUAUAAUAUUGGGUUAGACUGUUGACUUGUUUGUUUGUUUUUUAAAUUAUUUAUAUUUUAAUUGUAUUUUUUCCCCUUGUUGUGCUGGUCAUAGACCGUAAUAAACUUUGAUUGAUUGA